GAGGGGCAGCAUGGUCUUAGCUUGCUAAGGCCGAUGGCGACCGGCGCACGGGUGAGUAACACGUAUCCAACCUGCCGUCUACUCUUGGACAGCCUUCUGAAAGGAAGAUUAAUACAAGAUGGCAUCAUGAGUCCGCAUGUUCACAUGAUUAAAGGUAUUCCGGUAGACGAUGGGGAUGCGUUCCAUUAGAUAGUAGGCGGGGUAACGGCCCACCUAGUCUUCGAUGGAUAGGGGUUCUGAGAGGAAGGUCCCCCACAUUGGAACUGAGACACGGUCCAAACUCCUACGGGAGGCAGCAGUGAGGAAUAUUGGUCAAUGGGCGAGAGCCUGAACCAGCCAAGUAGCGUGAAGGAUGACUGCCCUAUGGGUUGUAAACUUCUUUUAUAAAGGAAUAAAGUCGGGUAUGCAUACCCGUUUGCAUGUACUUUAUGAAUAAGGAUCGGCUAACUCCGUGCCAGCAGCCGCGGUAAUACGGAGGAUCCGAGCGUUAUCCGGAUUUAUUGGGUUUAAAGGGAGCGUAGAUGGAUGUUUAAGUCAGUUGUGAAAGUUUGCGGCUCAACCGUAAAAUUGCAGUUGAUACUGGAUAUCUUGAGUGCAGUUGAGGCAGGCGGAAUUCGUGGUGUAGCGGUGAAAUGCUUAGAUAUCACGAAGAACUCCGAUUGCGAAGGCAGCCUGCUAAGCU
rnacentral:rRNA from 1 species